UGGGGAAUAUUGCACAAUGGGCGCAAGCCUGAUGCAGCCAUGCCGCGUGUAUGAAGAAGGCCUGCGGGUUGUAAAGUACUUUCAGCGGGGAGGAAGGGAGUAAAGUUAAUACCUGUGCUCAUUGACGUUACCCGCAGAAGAAGCACCGGCUAACUCCGUGCCAGCAGCCGCGGUAAUACGGAGGGUGCAAGCGUUAAUCGGAAUUACUGGGCGUAAAGCGCACGCAGGCGGUUUGUUAAGUCAGAUGUGAAAUCCCCGGGCUCAACCUGGGAACUGCAUCUGAUACUGGCAAGCUUGAGUCUCGUAGAGGGGGGUAGGAUUCCAGGUGUAGCGGUGAGAUGCGUGGAGAUCUGGGGGAAUACCGGUGGCGAAGGCGGCCCCCUGGACGAAGACUGACGCUCAGGUGCGAAAGCGUGGGGAGCAAACAGG
rnacentral:rRNA from 1 species